UGUCAGAGCGUCAUCAUGCAUCACCGUCGACUCAGCUGCAGGCUCAACCCAUUGUCUCUAAUGCUUCAGAAAAGUCCAGCUCUGAGGUGUUGGAUGAAGUUUCUACCUUUGAAGACGAAGGUGAUUCAAAAUCUGUUUAUGUGGGAAACAUUCCACCAAAUAUUUCAUCAUCUGACCUUGAACAAGAGUUCAGAAAGUUUGGUAGAAUAACGCUUGAUGGUGUUACUAUCAGGAGCCGUAAGGAUGGUGGAUUUUACUAUGCAUUUGUAGAAUUCGAAGACGCUGUUGGUGUUCAAAAUGCGCUGAAGGCUUCUCCAGUGCAGUUGAAUGGAAGACUGGUCCACGUAGAGGGCAGGAGGCCAAACAGUGGUGCGUCACGAGGAGGAAGGAGGGGCAAAGGAGGGGGAGGCUACAACUUGGAGGCCUCGAGAGGCCGUUUUGGCGGCAGGUCUUUUCGACAAUGACGGUCAUAUCCGGCGAGCUUCAUGUCAUGAAAAGGGA